rnacentral:lncRNA from 1 species
GCAUCCGCAGUCAUGCAACAAGCAAGCCUCCUUCGCGUGAACGUGUCCGAUGUCACUGCAAAACAUGCAAUAUUCGUUUGUUCUUUCAUUUCAAGUUAGCGAAGCAAGAAGUAGUACUUACUAAUAGAAAAACCAAAACCUGUGAUGCUCUUGUGCCUUUUUCGUCUUUUCCCUCACUGCUCGUAGCGGUUUAAUUUGUAGCUUGAGAGCAAUGUCAAUAAAGAUUCUCGGGGUAGGAAGAAAAGGUACUGCAAAAAUCAUUUCGGAGCGACUCUCGUACUCUUUUGUGAUCAACCACGUAAAAACUCGUGGUGCGUUUCACCUUCACGUUGCCUCCCGAAAUUUCAGUGGCCGCGUUCCGGCAUCGACUGGGAUGGGCGGCCGAGUGCUUUCGAUGGCGAAGGCGUGAGUGACGGUACCUGUGGCGCCGCGGCGUCGGCUCUUCCCUAUUCCGACCGCGCGCGGAUUCUGCUCCGCCACUCGCCGUCGCACUGCCGCUUAGGGGAGGGAAGAGGCAGUGUGGCGCGCGCGACAUCGUAACAUCGGCCAACCUAGCUACCCACGCGAAGACACACACUAUUGAAAAGAAAGCAUCGUCGAGGUUAUAACCAACCAGUAUUGUCAUCACUCCUCUGCGAGCCAUCAAUUUCGAUUUCAGCAUUGACGACCACCAACGCAACCCUCAUCAGACAGUCUACCACCUGCGCUGGCGAUGAGACACCUGAGACUUAGAUGAUGAACCUUGCAUGAGAAAAGCGUUGAGCCAGCACCAACUAGGCCCUGCAAGCGAACAUCGAUCUCAUGCCAUCGUCACCGCUAACGCACCUCCUCCGCAACUCCGAUCCACAAAGACGCGAUGAGGCACGAGAACUCCUCGAACACAUCGGAUGAUACCGACUACCAAACCCCCACCUCAACUGGUGAGGACACCACAACCAUCGACAAGUCCCCAACAAUUAUGGGUCCUAUCACAAGAAGUCGCGCCAAACUAAUAAGUGACCAGAUGAUCGCUAAGACGCUAACUGAAGUUUACCUUGUAACCUUGAUGACACAACUAUGCUUUCAUCCCCACUGUUGUUGGUUGAACUUGGGUAUCAUAUAAAAGAAAUCGGACAACCUAUGAGCUCUUGAAGGAACCGGUUUGAAGAAAACAAGUUCCAAGUGAAGCUGAUAUUGUCAGACUUUAGCUCUACUAUCAGUUUUUAGCUCUAAUGUUUUAUUGUGUCACACCCGAGAGACGGGCCAUACAGGUACAUCACCAGAAGCUACAUCAAAUUUACUCUCCAAUGCAAAGAAACCUCACAUCAUUUGGAGUUGUCAGUCAAACGUUCUAGUCAUUCUCGUGGAAGGUGUCUAUGCUGUCAAGGCUUCGCGAAUUUUCGAGGAGCUCUCCAACAACUCCCGAAGUUGACUGCUUAUUCCCCCAAGUAAGCCACGCAAAGCUAGUUAUUAUUUAAACCUUUUCACACCUAGCUAAGGGGAGUUGUCUCUACUAUAAAACCCAUCUCCUCCAUCCUUUGAGACCUUUUGUCAAACUAUUCAGCUACAAGCUUAUGCAGCAAGACUGCUAGAGAUCUGAGAGAUCCUUACUACCUUUGCUCUUGUGAGUUCAUACGGAUUCGCGAGAAGGAGCCUUUGGUUUCCCCUAAAUCGUGCUCUACAAUUUCAUGUGUUUUGUGUGGGUUAGUUCCGGUUUGUGGUUUCUGCGAUUGUUCAGGUAGUGGGUUGGAGUUCUUGUAGAUCCGGUCAGCCAUCCCCAACGUACGGGUUACAUCCAACCUUGGCAGGUAUAAAACUAAUUACGCGGCUGCUUGCAACUAGUUAUCCCUUUUGAUUCGAUCCUACGAAGUGAGGAGUGGGCCACCCUCGUGCAUGAACUCGUUCAACGGGCUUGCACCUAUCAUCAAACCAACUCCACUUGAAAUUGACAUCGUUGCUGGACAAGAAGCCACACAACUCCGAACCAGGGUCGCCACCCGAGCAUCCUCGCAACAAGCAGCGACCCACAUGACCUUGGAUGAAAUCGAGGCAGCCAUCAGUCCAGAUCACUGACCAUCGGUUCCUCCAGCCAGCGUGGCUCCAAGAACGAUGUUCGAUAUAGAGCUUUGUCAUCAUUCGAUCUGGGAAGAUCUCAUAUCUGAGGUUUCCCCAAAACAAUUAUUCAUGUAAAAUCUCAAAGGCACAUGUGGGGUUCAUGACAUGGUGAGAAGUUUUAGUAUGCCCCCAAAAGUUGAGGAGAGUUGGGACCUACAUAUAAGAGAUUCUCUUCCACGUCCUACUGGAGCAUGAGAAGAGUACUGGCACACAUGCUAUCCUCCUCACUCGCCCGCCUCACCAUGCCACGUGUGUGUGUCUUGUGUUUCGUGAACAACCUAAGCUCAAACAUAUGUCAUGUGUGCUUGUUAUUUUUGCUAGAUGGAAAUGGAUAACUAAUUGGUAAUUAAUUACGAUUUUAGCAAAUGCUUUACGAAUAGCAACAUCUGAUCUAGUUGGUUUGGAUUGUGGGUUGUUACCGACUCGGUCGUGGGCCUAACACCGCGUCUCCAUGCCCGACCACCAAUAUAUUGGAGGCAAAUCCAUUAGCAACCCUAGUCGUCACGCAAAAUAGAUUGCAACUACUCUACCUUCUUGCGCACAAAACAAUCUUCGUUCCUCUCGUUGUUGUUACUUCUGGCCAACUCCAUCAGAAGACCACUGCAUGGAUGCUCAGCAGAGCAGGCCUCUGAAACCAAGGGUGAGCGUUGUGGGGAGCAAACCGGUCCACAACCCGUCCUUUGUUUUGGAGUUGCUCUUAGAAUUUGCUACAAAUCCGGCCCAAGAACAGCAUAUUGCCCACUGAGUAAGGUAAAGGCCCGCCUUCACUUUGUUUCAUGCUCUGCCACUGUCUAGAACCUUGUCCUUUGUGAUCCUACACCAGGAAAUGAGUGAUAAGGAUUUUGGGAGGCAUCUCGGCACGACUGCCCGCAACUGUUCGACUACAUCCACGACUUUGGCUACUACAUCGGCCUUCCCACUGACAGCACAACACCGUGAACAAGAAGGUUGUUUGAGCCUCUUCCGCCGACAUGACUUUUGCCUCUCCGAAAGGAGGGUAUGAUAUAUUCAUCCCUCUAUUUUUUUCUCAUGUGUUAGCCGUACUCACUCUUAUCAUGGAUGUUCCUAUUCUAUGUUUCGUUUAUACAUGGAGGGCAUUGGUUUUUCUUCCCCGUGUCUUCUUCUUAUGCUUGGUCAUCCACGUCUCGCUUCGUCAUAACUACAGCAUAAGGGAAAAACAAGAUCUAGGGUAAACGCUCAUCACAACUCCAUCGUCUGGCGGGAUUUGGCUCAUCGCAUUGAGAUUUUUUGUGGUAUUACUAAGGUAGAGAUCCAUGACGAACCUCUACUGCAUUCGCAACCACCUACUCUUUUUUCUCAUCACUUGAUGUUGGAUGCCUCUGUUUCCAGGGUUUUGUGCGACCCUUCAUUGAUCCUUGAUCUUCCGCCUCACCUCUCUGAUACCGCAAAAAAUAAACUUGACUUUUCCAUGCUAUUUUGGACUCGAUAAAACAGAAUCUACAGGUAUCAAACAACAUAUUGGCAGGAUCGAUGGCAAGUUUCUCACAACACGAUCGGCUCACAAAGCAUUGUGGGAGUCCAAAUUGGUGGACCUCUUCGCCACAGCCAUCUAGAGAAAUUUUGCACCCAACAAAUGAAGGCCCUUCUUAUGGCUCGCCCACAAGAAUCAUCUCUUCAUCAACGACUUUCAUUUCAGGAGAGGCAUUGCAAAGAUUAGCGCCCCUUCUGCCCUGAUCCUGAGACUACCGAUCACCCACUUCUUUAUUGCCCCACAAUUCAAUCUCUUUGGGAGGAACUCACCAGCCUAUGCGGGUCUGUGUUUUUAUUUUUGUUUUCAAUUGAUUUAUGUGCUAAAACUAUAUUCUUAGAUGUGUAAUAUCGACUACGCUGGCUCAUGGGUCUUAUAUGUGUCAAUUUGCACAACACUUUAGAUGGGGUGACAUAGGUUGAAUCAUGUUCAUCGUGUCAUCGUGAUGUUGAAUUUUUUUUAAAAAUUACACACUUGGAAAGUAUAAACUCAUUGGUAGUGCUGAAUAUAUUGAAUAUAUCGUAACGGGGAAUACAAUAGUGAAAAUGGUUCAUAAUUUGUAAGCNNNNNNNNNNNNNNNNNNNNNNNNNNNNNNNNNNNNNNNNNNNNNNNNNNNNNNNNNNNNNNNNNNNNNNNNNNNNNNNNNNNNNNNNNNNNNNNNNNNNNNNNNNNNNNNNNNNNNNNNNNNNNNNNNNNNNNNNNNNNNNNNNNNNNNNNNNNNNNNNNNNNNNNNNNNNNNNNNNNNNNNNNNNNNNNNNNNNNNNNNNNNNNNNNNNNNNNNNNCCGAUUGGGACAAAAAAACACAGAUCGACCUCAACACGUGUCGACCAUGUGGAUGUGUACCUUCAUGUCUCCAUGUGUUGCCAAUAGAGGCGUCAGUCGCAAUCCCAGGAGUUACUUUAUAACCGGUGAUCUUUUUUCAUGUGUUUUUCAUCCCUUUUUCACUUAUAAUUUUAUCUUUUGCUUGUUUUUCCUAUUUCUAUUGACAUUUUUAUAAACAAAAUACCAUAACAAAUAUUCUGACACACAUGAGCAAAAUUUAUUCAAAUAUAUUUCUCAAAAAAUCUCCAAAUAAACAUUUUUUAAAAUACAUUGAUAUUUUUUUGUAGAAAGUUUUUUAAGCAUGAAAUGGAAUAUGCAUGUAUUUGGUCAUUUAUAAUUUUGCCAUAUACUCCCACCAUCCCAUAAUAUAAGAGUAUUUUGGAGAUUUUCUUUUAAAUAAGGGUUGCGCCAGCAGCUGUCCCAUUAUCAUUUCGCUUAGGCUGAUCCACCGUGCUCCCAAACGCGGCAAAUAUGAAAUCCCUGGGAUAUAUAAACUUGUCGCAUGUUCUGGCAAACAGGACAGUCUCACACACUAAAGUGGUCUUUAGGAACAUGGGGGCAUUGGAGCACUUUUUUUUACCACCCCAAAACAAGUGCUUAAUAAUUUUGAAAAUUUUGUUUUUUACUUGAAUACUCAUACAUAUGGCAAAGUACCUGUGAAAUUUCGCUCAAUAAUAUGUUGUAUUGUACGCUGCACAAAAAGGACAUCUGUUUAAAAUCAACAAAAAAAACAAGCCCCACGUUUGCAUUUUGUUUUUUUAUCUCUCACAUGCAAGCAGGUAUAUUGGUGAAAUUUUGGUCGUCAUAAUUAUGCUGCACCACUAUACAUGCAUGUACCCAAAAAUUUAGAUUUUUUAAAGACAUACAAAUCCAUUUUUUUGAAUUGCAAAUAAACAUGCUCCAAUCCCUGUGUUCAGAUGUCACUUUUCGGCCGACAGACACACUUUUUGCGUAGUAAGCUGACCCAACAAGAUUUGGUACAAUUUUUCAUUUCAUUUUUCUAUUACCUUUAUUUCUUCUAGUUUUGGAUAUGUAUCUAUGUUUCUUUUUUUCUCUUUCUAUUUUCUAAUAUUAUAUAAAUAUUCUAUUUUAAACUUUCAUUUUCAAGAACAAUAGUUUCUAAAAAAUGAAAAAUUCUUUUAAAUACAAGAAAUUUAUUUUGAAUUGUAUACAUAUUUCCUUUCAUGAUUGUGAAUAUUAUUUUUUUAAAGUGAACAUUCUUUAUUCAAUAAUAAGAAUUUUCAUAAAAUAUGUGUAACUUUUGACAUGAUUAAAAUAUUUACGUUGAGAUACAUGAACAUAUUUUCCAUAAUAUAUAAUAAUUUUAUUGUUUAAUAAAUGUUUUACUAUGCUUUCAUACUAUGUGAAAAUAUAUUUUUGGAUUUACAAAAGGUAAAACAACAAGGUGCUGACGGGCGCCAUUGGUAGCCCACCCAUGUUGAAACACAAGAAAGGGGGUGAGGGAAUCUCAUACUCAUCACUUACAAAUUUUUAAGAAGUGUUCACAAUUUUAUUGGAUUUUUAUGUGAAUAUAAGAAAAAUUUCAUACUUCAGAAAUUAUUCAUGAUAAGUUUAGAAUAAUUCAUGAUAAGUUUAGAAAACUUCAUAAAUUUCAAAAGAUAGAUUUGAAAACAAUUGUGAAGUUAUAAGAAAUUCGCAUAUUUUAGGAAAAAAUGUAAAAUAAAAUAAAAAGGAAAACAAAAAAGGAAAAGAAGAAAGGAAGUAAACUAUUGAAAAUUACAAGAAACAAUCACAGCUCGUACUGAAUGAGAAUUGAGUCCCUACCGAGUGAUGGUGGGUGGACUCUCACAGUUUUAAAUAGCGGAGAUACCGGUCGCUAUUGUGUCGGCAAUAGCGACCGCUAUUGCUCAAAUUAAAUGACAUUACUUUUUUUCUUAAUGGUCUACAAAUAUGCAUAAUAAGCUAGUGUUUUUACAAAUUCCCUACCCGUACAUAGUGCAAGCAAUAUCGCAUGAUAUGCGCAUUCCGCUACGCGGAACCCAAUCCGCUACCAUCCUGCUAUCCGCUAUUUAAAACCAUAUGGACUAAAAGAUAGCCGACUUGAAGAAAAAAUUAAAUAGGCUGGUAGCAGAUUCCUAUGACGCGAUCUUGCAAAGUUAAAUGAGCCGGCCCUAUAGAGCAUUUGGGUACGCGACUCCUACGAAUUACUCUUUAUCCUUUGCUACAAGUGAAUAAUAGGGGAUUACGGGAGCGCAUAUCUCUCACUUAUAGCGAGACAUAGAGUAGCCUCGCCUUAAGCCAGCACUUGAUUGGAUCGGCUAAGCACGCUGGAGGCCACAGGCCUCCAAAGCCCUCUUGUUUCACUGUUAUUCGUUCAAAUAUUUUGUUUUAGUUUUUAGAUUUCUUAUUGUUUUACUUUUGUUUAUACGUCCAAAUAUUCACAAUAUAUAUCUUAUAAAAACAUUUUAAACAAUUAUUUUGAAAAUGUUAAUAAUGCUAAUGUUUUUGAUAUAUGCUAAACAUGUAUACAUUAAAUGUACAAUGUGUAUGGAAAAAAGUAUAGAACUAAAUUAAUGUCAAUUUUGAAAAGUGUUAAUACGUAUAUGGAAAACGUUUAACAUGUAUACAAACAAUGUAAAAUGUGCAUGGAAAAAAGUAGAAACAAAUCAAUACAAAUUUUAAACAAAUCUUAAUGAUGUAUUUAAAAAAUGUUAAACCGAUAUAUAAAUAAUAUUCUUAAUGCAACGUAAAAUGUAGCUAGGGACACGAAGAAUACCAAUAAAAAUGAAAAAAAAUGAAGAAAGGAAGUAAGAAAAAAAACCAAUGCAACGUGAGAAUGAAACAACAGAAAAUGAAAGAAAAAAACACCAAUAAUAACCAUGAAAGAAAUAAAAAUAAAUUAGUGAAAUACAAGAAAAUAGAAGGAAAAAAAUGAUGAAACCUGUGAAAAAGUAAAGAAAACUAAAAAGAAAAACAACCAAUGAAACCGACAAAGAAAACGAGAAAUAAAAAAACAUAUAACAAAGAAUAAAAACCAGUGAAAACAAAGAAAACCGAAGUAUAAGAAGAAACGAAAAGGGAAAUAGAAAAAAAAGGUAAAGGAAUGAAAAUCUCAGUGAUAAUACAAAAGAAAACAAGAAAAAACUUGAAAAACUGCCCCCAAACAGUGUAAACCAUACAAAAGAUAAACCACACAGAAAAAACCUGGCCAAAACAGUGAAAACCGGGCAAAAGAAUAAAAAAACACAGAGAGAAAAACAAAACGCAAGAAAUGCUACAGCGAAAUCUUGCUUGGAAAGAAGUCCACUAACCCAACCACCAAAAGAGAAAACUGCUCAAGAAAUCUACGGCAAAUAAAAUGGGUCACACACCUUAAAAAUGGUAAAAUGUGUUACUACCGGAUUUUCUCUUUUCUUUAGUUGACUACCGGAAUUGAAAGUGGUCGACAUGUGGCUGCUCUCAUCGAUCGUCUUGAACACAGGUCACACCUGUCCGCAAUGCAUGGUUUCCACAUUUCAAGCGUGAAAUGCUGCGCGAUUUUCAGUGUGAAGUAUGAACAUGGGUACAGUUUCAUAGGUUGAAAUUUACGUUGGCUGGAUACGUACCCAGAGAAAGAGUUGAUCAAGAGAACCUGCAGCUGGAAUUGACAGGAACUGGAUUCCCACUCGUACGUCGGUGCGUGCAUGCAUGCUGCUACUGAAAGAUAAACCUUGGUCGUGGUGGGUAAGUAAGCGCCUUUAACGUGCAAGCUGUGGACUUGGAAGCUCGAUAAUAAUCCCUUCCAUGUGUAAAUACUAAGAAGACUAGGCCCGUAAGGGUUCGAUUUUUCUGGUUUUUUCGGAAUUUUUUUUACGCCUGCCGAUUGAGCGACACGUGUGCAUGGUGGCUUUCAUGAAGUGGUUGGUCUCUUCUCUCUUGGACUGUGCCUGUUUCUUCUAGAGCUGCAUGGGCUUAUCUUGUCUCAUGUGAAAAGAUGGUUUGACUGUAUGGGCUGAUUUUGUCUCAUGUGAAAAAGAAAUAUUAGCUGCAUGGCCUGGCUGGUAUACGUGUGCUGCUGCAUGGCUCAUGCAUGCAUGCAUGUCCACCUUUGCAUAUUUGUAAUUCCAGGUUUGCACACGUUUGUGUUCUGGGUCCUUCUUUGCUUGCCUAUAAGUAGCUCCUUGUUGUGUUCUUCUCUCAUGUGUACUUUUGGGUCUCCAUCUCUCCUCCUGAUGCUGCCCUCCAACCUCCAUCCGAGAUCCCGCGGCAUGCUAGGUCGCCGCUCCGGCUGGCCGGCUGGGAGGUGCGUGCCAUCCUCUCCUCAUGGAUCUUCCUCGGCUUCGGCUCCGUCCCUGGCCUCCCAGGCGGAUACAUGGUGGUGGCCUCCCCAUGGUCCAAGGUGGCACGCCUGCAGCUGACGCUGGAUAGCUUCCUACCCUGUUGCGCUCCAUCCUAAUCGACUCCCCUCGGCCUUCCCCAGCUUUGGCCCUGGCAGCAGGUCCCCUCCACCUGCCCCACAGCCGCGGUUCCUGCCUCGCUACUUCAGUUUCAAGUUGUUCCUUGCGAAGGUACACAUCGCAUCUGCAUUUCCUCUCCUCUGGUCUACGUGGUUUCCUUAAACAAGUAGAUGAGUUAUUAGUAUUACAAGUUCAUCAGAUCUAAAGUUGGGUGCAUAUGCUACAAAUUCUUAAUCUAAGAAGAAUAUUCAGGUGUUGCGUGCAGGUCUGUGGUGAGGACACAAAUUUGGGGGUCCAGGUCCUUGCGUGAAUGUGCAAGGAAUUUAGAGCCUGCAUCUUUAAUAUAACAUAUUAUAUUUCUCUCCAUUAAGUUGUGUUCCAUUUUCUUGAUGGAAGUAAUUCUGGUUUAAUUUCACAUGAUGUUUAAACAAAUAAACACAUGAUGUGCUGAAACCUUUUUUUAGAAAAGGAGGAUGACCCUCGGCCUCUGCAUCUGGGCGAUGCAUACGGCCACUUUAUUAAUUAUUAACACAAAACCUUACAAAGCCAUACAACAGCAAGACUAAAGCCACCGUCUAAGCAACAAUUGUCGCUACAUCUAUCCAAUUGAUAAAGGGGCGCAGAUAGUCUGGGCCUAAUACCAAACAGACAUCGCAGCCAAACCUAAACAUCUAAGACCUAAGGUCCCAACCAGAACGCCUGCCGGGUAUAGGGCACCUACCAGUCCGGCGCACUCCUCAACCUAUGAGGCCGCCGCAGCCACCUGCCACAAAUCCAUCUUCAGAGCUAUACUGUUGUAUGUACCGUGCCAGGUCUCUCUGCCAUCGACGCCACCACGACGCCCGACAGCAUCGUCCUCCUGCGCGAGUCCAUCCUCCCACAGCGAACUCCGAAUCUGCACUGCGCCACGCUGUCAAGAUCCGUCGCCAUCAGUGUGUAGGAUGAAGCACCGCUCCACCAAAGAAUCCAUCCUCUGUUCCCUCGAUCACGUGUGUACCUCCAAAAAUGACGCCCCCAAGGGAGGAACGACACCAGAGCGCCGCCGUCAUCCGAUCAUCCGAGCUAGGGUUUCCCCCGGAGGUAGCAGAGAGUGGCCUUGAACUUCUCCACGGCGAUGACUUCAAGAAGGGAACGACGCAGAUAGCGCCGCCAUCGCCGGCCUUAGCAGAAGCCGAAGGCAAGUUUUCACCCAGAUCAGUUCGAAGGAAUCCAACUCUCGUGCACGGGCCACCGUCACCACCAGCACCACCAGGCAGACCCUGGAGUACCGGCAGAUUAGCGAGCCACCGGCACCACCGCAUCCAGAUCGCCGGCCACACAGGGCCGCCGCCAUCCCCCGCGUCGUCCGGGUCAGAGACGGAGCCGCCGACCGCGCACAGGGACCGCCGCCGCCUGCACACGCCGGAGCGCCGCCGAGGUCCCAGCGCCCGCCACCGCUUACCGACGCCAACCUCCGCCCGAGCACUGGCGCCACCGUGGAGCCAUUAGAUCAGGGAGGGAGACAUCGCGCGCCGACCACCCUCGCGGACCCCGCCGCACGCCUGAGCGCCGGCGCCACCGCGACGCCAUCAGAUCAGGAGGAGGAGGAGCCCGCGCCUCGCCGCCCCCCGCAGACCACGCCGCCGCCAUCGCCGCAGCGCCACCAAAGGGGAGUCCCGCAGAUCCGCCGGUGACCCGACCUGCCGCCGAGCCGAGCGCCGCCGCAAGGGCCGGCCGGCCCGCGCCGCCCAGGAGCCUCGCGAGGAGGGAGGAAGCCCCGCCGCCACCGACGCACGCGCGGGCUUUGCCCGUCGGCGUCCCCUGGCGACGGCGAGGGAGAAGGACGGCGAAGGAAGGGAACGGCACGGGGGACGGGACAUGAUGUGCUGAAUAGCUGACAUACAUAGGAAAUGUUACAUCUUGAUGACUAUUGCAGUACUACAUUAUUCUCAGGUAUUUGUUGUUCCUUUUGUGAUAGUUUUCUCUCUCCUAAAAGUAGAAUGGAUCAUUUUUAAUCCUUUGAGCAAGGUUGCCCAAAGUAGGGCGCUCAGCCAUUGAGGCAUUAUCAAUUUCUUUAAGAAGCUUCACAAAAUCUUCUCUUAUACUAAAAAGAUCUAAUGUAGGUUUGUUAGCCUUAUAGGGUACUAUAUACUGAAGACAUGAUAUUAAAUAUACAGUACAUUGCACUGUGAAGUGAGUAUCUAUAUACUUUCGUUUCGGAAAAAAGUAUGUAUAUACUAUCCACACAUGAUUGCCAUUUUUAGAGCUGUCGCUGGGAUCAUCAUGGAUUGGGAUGCAUUCUGAUAAUAAGAUAUUAGGGUAUUGAUAUGUGAUCUGUAUGUCACACUUGACUUCAUCAUCCUUUGUUUUCAGAUGUAUUCUUUAGGCAUACACUAAUGUGGCAGCUUGGUCAUAUUCUGUAGCUAAUUUAGUCACCACAAUACUCGGAUUUUUUUUCCCGACUCUCAGUAUAAAGAACUUCCACUUGCCAUCUCUAUAUGGAUUUUCUUUUUGCUACUGAUGAUUUUGGCUAAGGGUUUUUCGGCUUUCCUCUCUAUAUGGAUAUGCUUUUUUCAGGUUAGUAGUUUAGGAGUUUUUUUCAACACUGGCUUUUGGAAGUUAUGCUCGCUUCACCAGUAGGUCUUAACAAGGACAUAAUUAAUUCUCGGUUGGUAAUUAGAAAAAAAAUUGUUGGAGAAAACAUAUCUUUUGCGUAGUUAUUGCUUCUGAAUUUUACUAAUCUUUUUUCAUUUUCUUUUUUUUCCAGGUUAGUAGUAUGGGAGUUCCUAUCAAGACUGACAUUUGGAAGUUAUGCUAGCUUCAUCAGUUAUACAAAACUAGACUCAAUGUAAUUUAUUUUGGUGCUUGCAAUGAGUAUUAGACAGAGGGAUGAUGAACACAUACUUCACCCAGUGUAUAGCCAUGGUGACAAAAAAAAUUAGACAGAAAAACUCGGUCUGUAUGGUGUUUGUGAUGAUGCUAUCAAUUCACUAAACGCUAAAAUGCCAGGUUGUGAGUGUCAAAUCUAGCAAACUAAUUUUCUUUAUUGCUUUUUAUCCAAACAGAAGUAUUAGUCUAUUCUGUGCCAAGAGUCUUACUGUCAAAAGAAUAUAUGGUAGCAUCAGAUUGCCUCCAUCAGAUAGAACAAUGGCUAAUAAACUCAUUUUAUUACUGUAUAGCCAUGGUGACAAACAAUUGGAUAAUAAGAAAUAAUUCGCUCAAAUAUUCUCAGCAGAGAUACUGUUGCGGUCUAUACGAAAAAAAUUGUUACCUAUUUAAUUAAACAGAAAACUCUGUCAUUCAUGGCAACAGAUGCUAAACAAUCAGACUACCUGACAGAAAAGUAUAUAUACAACAGUUAAAUUUCUUCAUUCCAAAAAUAGAUGAUGUAGCGGUAGAUGUUGAUCGUACAAGAACACGAGGAUGACAAAGAUAAAUUAAUAACAUAUAUUAUCAUCACGGGUUGAUCUAACUGGUGGUAAUUUUUCUUUGCAAUGAAAACAAAGUGGAAUGAAACGAUUCAAACAACCAAAAAGAAGGAAACAAAUGAUGCUUACGGAUCUGAAUGAGUUAGGUCGCUCCACUACUUGCAAGUAAUAGGCAGAUCCAGCGACUCAGUGGCAGAGCUACUGCUCGACAAAGCCAGGCCGCCGCCCUGGCUCUGCCUGGAAGUCAUCACUGAAAUUACAAAAAGAAAUAUUAAGUAAUUAGUAUGGUAGAGCUACUGCUCGACAACGCCAGGCGGCCGCCUUGGCUCUGCCUGGAAGUCAUCACUGAAAUUACAAAAAGAAAUUAAUUAGUAUUUUUUCCAUGGGCAUAUGACCGCCGGCCGGUUGCCUUUGUGCUCAUGCCAGUGUUGUAAUUGACUCUGCCACUGCAGCGACCUGGAAGAACAGCAACUGUUUGUGGAGUGGGGAAUUUUUCUCUCUCAGUACGUCUCUAAAUCACUGAAUUGUCCCCUGGACAAAUAUGAGUUAAAUAUGUCCCGUCGACAUAGGGAAGGCUUGCUAUCACAUACCAUUUAUUGGGAUAUCUAAUAUUAGUCUCAUUCCAACACCACAUAUCCAGACCAAAGAGAAAGCUACAAAUUGGAUGAUUGAUCCCUAUGAAAUUGAUGUCACACAUAUUUUAUUUUGAAAAGGGUAUUACCCUGGGCUCUGCAACAAUGAUGCACACAACCAUAUUAUUAAACAUAAAUCAAGUUCCAAUUACCGAGUUCCAGGCUUAUUUCAUCAAGUAGUUUUCUUCUACUUGAACUCAAUUUCUUCAAUUUCCCUGAGUCGUGAGCUUAUAUCAGCCGUGAGCUCAUAUAUAUUCUGCGUUGUGAACUCAUUUUAGUUUUAUCUAUGAACUCAUUAGGUGAAUUCAUCAUGUUUUUUGGGAGAUGUGAACUUAUUUCAUAUUCAUCUAUGAAUCAUGGUUGAAGUGUUCGUAUAAUUCCAUUCUUUUGCCACUUCUAACUACAAUUCCAUUGUUGUCUUUGAAUAAGCUACAUCAAGUGCAACAAAACAGAUUGCAUCAAGUAGCUUAUGGACUGAAAUUUGCGGUAUUAUUCAUUUGUUGUAUUGUCGAUUAGUUGAUUCUGGCUGUGAAACUAAACAUGCCAUGCUAUUCUUGAUGUAAUUUCCAAAUUGCAAUCCAUAAUCAAGCAAAAGAUUACAACAAACAUGACUUACAUGUUGCUUGCAUUCAACAUCUUCAGGACCUUCACGCGCAUCCAUCUCCUCCUCUGGUCGCUGCUGCCAUCAAGCCACUUGCUCAGGAC